GACGAACGCUGGCGGCGUGCUUAACACAUGCAAGUCGAACGGAAAGGCCCUGCUUUUGUGGGGUGCUCGAGUGGCGAACGGGUGAGUAACACGUGAGUAACCUGCCCUUGACUUUGGGAUACCUUCAGGAAACUGGGGCUAAUACCGGAUAGGAGCUCCUGCUGCAUGGUGGGGGUUGGAAAGUUUCGGCGGUUGGGGAUGGACUCGCGGCUUAUCAGCUUGUUGGUGGGGUAGUGGCUUACCAAGGCUUUGACGGGUAGCCGGCCUGAGAGGGUGACCGGCCACAUUGGGACUGAGAUACGGCCCAGACUCCUACGGGAGGCAGCAGUGGGGAAUAUUGCACAAUGGCGGAAGCCUGAUGCAGCGACGCCGCGUGCGGGAUGACGGCCUUCGGGUUGUAAACCGCUUUCGCCUGUGACGAAGCGUGAGUGACGGUAAUGGGUAAAGAAGCACCGGCUAACUACGUGCCAGCAGCCGCGGUGAUACGUAGGGUGCGAGCGUUGUCCGGAUUUAUUGGGCGUAAAGGGCUCGUAGGUGGUUGAUCGCGUCGGAAGUGUAAUCUUGGGGCUUAACCCUGAGCGUGCUUUCGAUACGGGUUGACUUGAGGAAGGUAGGGGAGAAUGGAAUUCCUGGUGGAGCGGUGGAAUGCGCAGAUAUCAGGAGGAACACCAGUGGCGAAGGCGGUUCUCUGGGCCUUUCCUGACGCUGAGGAGCGAAAGCGUGGGGAGCGAACAGGCUUAGAUACCCUGGUAGUCCACGCUGUAAACGGUGGGUACUAGGUGUGGGGUCCAUUCCACGGGUUCCGUGCCGUAGCUAACGCUUUAAGUACCCCGCCUGGGGAGUACGGCCGCAAGGCUAAAACUCAAAGGAAUUGACGGGGCCCCGCACAAGCGGCGGAGCAUGCGGAUUAAUUCGAUGCAACGCGUAGAACCUUACCUGGGUUUGACAUGGAUCGGGAGUGCUCAGAGAUGGGUGUGCCUCUUUUGGGGUCGGUUCACAGGUGGUGCAUGGCUGUCGUCAGCUCGUGUCGUGAGAUGUUGGGUUAAGUCCCGCAACGAGCGCAACCCUUGUUCACUGUUGCCAGCACGUUAUGGUGGGGACUCAGUGGAGACCGCCGGGGUCAACUCGGAGGAAGGUGGGGAUGACGUCAAGUCAUCAUGCCCCUUAUGUCCAGGGCUUCACGCAUGCUACAAUGGCUGGUACAGAGAGUGGCGAGCCUGUGAGGGUGAGCGAAUCUCGGAAAGCCGGUCUCAGUUCGGAUUGGGGUCUGCAACUCGACCUCAUGAAGUCGGAGUCGCUAGUAAUCGCAGAUCAGCAACGCUGCGGUGAAUACGUUCCCGGGGC
rnacentral:rRNA from 1 species